rnacentral:rRNA from 1 species
UGCAGUCGAACGAGAAAGCUUCUUCGGAAGUGAGUAAAGUGGCGCACGGGUGANUAACGCGUAGGCAACCUGCCCCUAAGAUUGGAAUAACUACGGGAAACCGUAGCUAAUACCGAAUAAUAUCCAACGGCCUCAUGGCCGAUGGAUCAAAACUCCGGUGCUUAGGGAUGGGCCUGCGUAAGAUUAGGUAGUUGGUGAGGUAACGGCUCACCAAGCCGACGAUCUUUAGCUGGUCUGAGAGGAUGAUCAGCCACACUGGCACUGAGACACGGGCCAGACUCCUACGGGAGGCAGCAGUGAGGAAUAUUGCGCAAUGGGGGAAACCCUGACGCAGCCACGCCGCGUGGUGGAUGACACCCCUAUGGGGCGUAAACACCUUUUAUGAGAGAAGAAGUCCCUAUUCGAUAGGGUUUGACGGUACCUCAUGAAUAAGCACCGGCUAACUCCGUGCCAGCAGCCGCGGUAAUACGGAGGGUGCAAGCGUUGUCCGGAAUCACUGGGUGUAAAGGGUGUGUAGGCGGAGCUGUAAGUCAGAGGUGAAAUCCUGCGGCUUAACCGUAGAACUGCCUUUGAUACUGCAGCCCUUGAAUAUUGGAGAGGUCACUAGAAUUCGUGGUGUAGCGGUGAAAUGCGUAGAUAUCACGAGGAAUACCAGAGGCGUANGCGGGUGACUGGACNAUUAUUGACGCUGANGCACGAAAGCGUGGGGGGCAAACAGGANUAGAUACCCUGGUAGUCCACGCCGUAAACGAUCAUCACUCGCUGUUGGCGAUAUACUGUCAGCGGCCAAGCGAAAGUAUUAAGUGAUGCACNUGGGGANUACGCCNGGCANCNGUGAAACUCAAAGG